ensembl:rRNA 5S_rRNA 5S ribosomal RNA
UACCACCCUGAACGCACCCGAUUUCGUCUGAUCUCAGAAGCUAAGCAGGGUUGGGCCUGGUUAGUACUUGGAUGGGAGAAAUGUUAACAAAUAAAGAAUAACUCUCCUGAGAAAUGGAU